rnacentral:lncRNA from 1 species
CUGACUCGCGUGGAUGUGGAAUGCAGGUUUCAGCUCGGUGUUCGAGGCGUGCUGCGGGUCGGGGGGAGGCAAGUACAACUACGCCAACAGCGCGAGGUGCGGCAUGUCCGGCGCCUCCGCAUGCGCCAGCCCGGCGUCGCACCUCAGCUGGGACGGCAUCCACCUCACCGAGGCCGCAUACAAGCAGAUCACCGACGGAUGGCUCAACGGCGCCUUCUGCCACCCCGCCAUCACCCACUAGCCACCCCACCUCAGUCCGUGCAUGCAUGCAUGGGCGCAUCAAAAACCUCAUCGUCGUCGUCGUCCAUGAAUCCAUAAUCAAUCAAUCAAUCAACCGAUCGAUUAUCAUUAUAUUAUUAUUAUAAUUAUUAUUAUUUGUUCAGUCGGGUUAACUAUCAUAACGUGU